rnacentral:tRNA from 1 species
AUGUUUUUAGUAUAAUAGGUAUAAUAAAUUUAGUAUUUAUAGGUUUUGUAACAUA